AGAGUUUGAUCCUGGCUCAGGAUGAACGCUGGCGGCGUGCUUAACACAUGCAAGUCGAACGAACCUUCGGGUUAGUGGCGGACGGGUGAGUAACGCGUGGGAAUCUGCCCUCAGGAGGGGGAUAACGGCUGGAAACGGCCGCUAAUACCCCAUAUGCCGAGAGGUGAAAGGAAAUUCGCCUGAGGAUGAGCCCGCGUCUGAUUAGCUAGUUGGUGGGGUAAGAGCUUACCAAGGCGACGAUCAGUAGCUGGUCUGAGAGGAUGAUCAGCCACACUGGGACUGAGACACGGCCCAGACUCCUACGGGAGGCAGCAGUGGGGAAUUUUCCGCAAUGGGCGAAAGCCUGACGGAGCAACGCCGCGUGAGGGAUGAAGGCCUCUGGGCUGUAAACCUCUUUUCUCAAGGAAGAAGACAUGACGGUACUUGAGGAAUAAGCCACGGCUAAUUCCGUGCCAGCAGCCGCGGUAAUACGGGAGUGGCAAGCGUUAUCCGGAAUUAUUGGGCGUAAAGCGUCCGCAGGCGGCCCUGUAAGUCUGUCGUUAAAGCGUGGAGCUUAACUCCAUUUAAGCGAUGGAAACUACAGGGCUUGAGUGUGGUAGGGGCAGAGGGAAUUCCCGGUGUAGCGGUGAAAUGCGUAGAUAUCGGGAAGAACACCAGUGGCGAAGGCGCUCUGCUGGGCCAUAACUGACGCUCAUGGACGAAAGCCAGGGGAGCGAAAGGGAUUAGAUACCCCUGUAGUCCUGGCCGUAAACGAUGAACACUAGGUGUCGGGGGAAUCGACCCCCUCGGUGUCGUAGCCAACGCGUUAAGUGUUCCGCCUGGGGAGUACGCACUCAAGUGUGAAACUCAAAGGAAUUGACGGGGGCCCGCACAAGCGGUGGAGUAUGUGGUUUAAUUCGAUGCAACGCGAAGAACCUUACCAGGGUUUGACAUCCUGCGAAUCCCUUGGAAACGAGGGAGUGCCUUCGGGAGCGCAGAGACAGGUGGUGCAUGGCUGUCGUCAGCUCGUGUCGUGAGAUGUUGGGUUAAGUCCCGCAACGAGCGCAACCCACGUCUUUAGUUGCCAGCAUUCAGUUGGGCACUCUAGAGAGACCGCCGGUGAUAAACCGGAGGAAGGUGUGGAUGACGUCAAGUCAUCAUGCCCCUUACAUCCUGGGCUACACACGUACUACAAUGCUACGGACAAAGGGCAGCAAGCUCGCGAGAGUUAGCAAAUCCCAUAAACCGUGGCUCAGUUCAGAUCGUAGGCUGCAACUCGCCUACGUGAAGGAGGAAUCGCUAGUAAUCGCAGGUCAGCAUACUGCGGUGAAUACGUUCCCGGGCCUUGUACACACCGCCCGUCACACCAUGGAAGUUGGCCAUGCCCGAAGUCGUUACUCCAACCC
rnacentral:rRNA from 1 species